CUGAUUAUAUUAAAGAGCCGCAGUAUUCUGACUGUGCGAAGGUAGCAUAAUAAAUUGUCUUUUAAAUGGAGGCUUGAAUGAAAGGUUGGACAAAGUAUCAUCUGUUUCUUAAAUAUUUAUUGAAUUUGACUUUCAAGUGAAAAGGCUUGAAUAAAUUAAAAAGACGAUAAGACCCUAUAAAUCUUUACAAUAAACAUGUUCUAUAUUUUAAUUUAUAAGUGUAUAAAAUAUUAAAUUUGUAUUUGUUUCGCUGGGGCGGCGUGGAUAUAUUAAUAAACUGUCUGUGUGUUAAAUCCAAUAAUUAUUGAUUAGUGAGAUUGAUCCUUAAAUAGAUUAAAAGAUUAAGAUACUUUAGGGAUAACAGCGUUAUUUUUUUUGAGAGUUCUUAUCGAAGAAAAAGUUUGCGACCUCGAUGUUGAAUUAAAGUAUCUUUAUGGUGCAGCCGCUAUAAGAGAGAGUCUGUUCGACUUUUAAUACUUUACAUGAUCUGA
rnacentral:rRNA from 1 species